ACAUGCGACCACAGGGUGUGGAAAACAGGGCUUCCCGUCCGCUCAGCCGUACUUAAGCCACACGCCGGUGAGUUAGUAGUUGGGUGGGUGACCACCAGCGAAUCCUCACUGUU
rnacentral:rRNA from 2 species